rnacentral:rRNA from 1 species
AUUGAACGCUGGCGGCAGGCUUAACACAUGCAAGUCGAGCGGGGGAAGGUAGCUUGCUACCGGACCUAGCGGCGGACGGGUGAGUAAUGCUUAGGAAUCUGCCUAUUAGUGGGGGACAACAUCUCGAAAGGGAUGCUAAUACCGCAUACGUCCUACGGGAGAAAGCAGGGGAUCUUCGGACCUUGCGCUAACAGAUGAGCCGAAGUCGGAUUAGCUAGUUGGUGGGGUAAAGGCCUACCAAGGCGACGAUCUGUAGCGGGUCUGAGAGGAUGAUCCGCCACACUGGGACUGAGACACGGCCCAGACUCCUACGGGAGGCAGCAGUGGGGAAUAUUGGACAAUGGGGGGAACCCUGAUCCAGCCAUGCCGCGUGUGUGAAGAAGGCCUUAUGGUUGUAAAGCACUUUAAGCGAGGAGGAGGCUACUUUAGUUAAUACCUAGAGAUAGUGGACGUUACUCGCAGAAUAAGCACCGGCUAACUCUGUGCCAGCCGCCGCAGUAA